CCUACGGGAGGCAGCAGUGGGGAAUAUUGCACAAUGGGGGGAACCCUGAUGCAGCAAUGCCGCGUGGGUGAAGAAGCACUCCGGUGCGUAAAGCCCUGUCAGCAGGGAAGAAAAUGACAGUACCUGACCAAGAAGCCCCGUCUAACUACGUGCCAGCAGCCGCGGGAAUACGUAGGGGGCAAGCGCUAUCCGGAUUUACUGGGUGCAAAGGGUGCGCAGGCGGUAUGGCAAUUCAGAUGUGAAAACCCAGGGCCCAACCCUGGGUCUGCAUUUGAAACUGCCAUACUGGAGUGCCGGAGAGGUAAGUGGAAUUCCUAGUGUAGCGGUGAAAUGCGUAGAUAUUAGGAAGAACACCAGUGGCGAAGGCGACUUACUGGACGAUAACUGACGCUGAGGCUCGAAAGCGUGGGGAGCGAACAGGAUUAGAUACCCGAGUAGUC
rnacentral:rRNA from 1 species